AGAGUUUGAUCAUGGCUCAGGACGAACGCUGGCGGCGUGCCUAACACAUGCAAGUCGAGCGAGAUGAUCCCUUCGGGGAGAUUCUAGCGGCGGACGGGUGAGUAACACGUGGGUAACCUGCCUCAAAGAGGGGGAUAGCCUCCCGAAAGGGAGAUUAAUACCGCAUAACAUUAUCUUCUCGCAUGAGAAGAUAAUCAAAGGAGUAAUCCGCUUUGAGAUGGACCCGCGGCGCAUUAGCUAGUUGGUGAGGUAACGGCUCACCAAGGCGACGAUGCGUAGCCGACCUGAGAGGGUGAUCGGCCACAUUGGAACUGAGACACGGUCCAGACUCCUACGGGAGGCAGCAG
rnacentral:rRNA from 1 species